UGUUUAAAUAGUUUAAAAAAAAUAUUGAUUUGUGGUGUCAUUGAUGAGAGUUAUUCUCUUUAAACC
rnacentral:tRNA from 1 species